AUGAACUUCCUUCAUAUUGUCUCUCUGUCUCCUCCAGUGGGUCGAGUGACCCCCACCCUGACGGUGCUGCCCCCCUCCAGUGAGGAGCUGCAGCAGGAGAAGGUCACAGUCCUGUGCCUGGCCAACAAGGGCUUCCCCUCAGACUGGAGUCUGGCCUGGAAGGUGGAGGGCAGCAGCAGCAGCAGCAGCUGGGAGGAGAGCAGGAGCCCCGGGGUGCUGGAGAAGGACGGCCUCUACAGCUGGAGCAGCACCCUGAGGCUCCCUGCGGACCAGUGGAGCAAGCUGGGCUCUGUGACCUGUGAGGCCACCCAGGGCUCCCAGACUCCGCUCUCAGAGACACUGAGGAGAGACCAGUGUUCCCAGUCCUGACCUGACUCACUGGGACUCUGCUACUGGUUUUACUCUGCUCCUGCUCUCUCUCUCUGCUCUCUGUAACACUGUCUCUCUCUCUUUUAUUUCACAUGUUUCACUAACAAUAUUUACCAGCUUCUCUCAGUGUUUCAAUAUUGUUUCUGUGUUUCCAGAUAAUAAAAAUCUGAUC